UUUAUUAGAAAGUCUUUUAAAAAAGCAAAAUGGCAGCAAAGAUUUCAGGCAUUGCCUUUGGAAGUUCGGUGUUAAAUUUGUUGAGUCUGCUUUGGGUAGAUUGAAGAGCAUAAUGUCAGGCUUGGAAUACCGUUGCAAAGUUACUAAUGUCUAGUCUAAGUGAUAGUCCCAAUAGUGGAAGAUUUGUUUUGCAAAUGCUACAUUUUUAAUAUUUGGAAUUAGAAAAAAGAUCCUCUUUUCCAGUCAUAAACCUUUACCAACUUUACUUGAUUAGAUCACUUAUCCUGAGACCUUUCCUUAUCUUCGUAGGCAGGAAAUCUCCAGACUCAUUUACGUCGGCAUUCAGGUGAAAAACCUUACAUUUGUGAAAUCUGUGGGAAAAGAUUUGCUGCAUCUGGUGAUGUCCAGCGCCACAUUAUUAUUCACACUGGUGAAAAACCACAUCUGUGUGAUAUUUGUGGUCGAGGUUUUAGUAACUUCAGUAAUUUAAAGGAACAUAAGAAGAACCAUACAAUAGAAAAAGUUUUCACCUGUGAUAAAUGUGGAAAGUCAUUUAACUUACCUCGAAAGUUAGUAAAGCACAGGAGCAGACACACUGGAGAAAGACCAUAUAGUUGCUCAGCUUGUGGUAAGUCUGUGCUUUAAGAAAAACCCUAAAUCAUUUAUUGUCGUGUUUUGCUUGCUCUUCUGACUUUCUGGACAGUGGAAUAAUAGUAACUGGAUCCAACAGCUCAGCAG